rnacentral:tRNA from 1 species
AGGGGCUUAGGAUAAUACUAAGACCAAGAGCCUUCAAAGCUCUAAGUGGAAGUGAGACUCUUCCAGCCCCUG